ensembl:lncRNA
AAAACACAGCUUCAAUCCCUGGUCCAGGAAGAUCCCACAUGCUGCAGAACAACUAAGCCCAUGUACCACAACUACUGAGCCUGUGCUCUAGAGCCCACGAGCAGCAAAUUCUGAGCCCAUGUGCUGCAGCUAAUGAAGCCCACCUGCGCUAGAGCCAGUGUCCCACAUUAAGAGAAGCCUGUGUGGUGAGGAGGCCGCAGACCACAACUAGAGGAUAGCUCCUGUUCUCCACAACUAGAGAAAAAGCCUGAACAGCAGUGAAGACCCAGCACAGCCAAAAAUAAACAAGUUGCAAUUUUCAAAUCAGACUCCCAAGGUGAGUCCUUCUAAAGCAGUAUUAGUGUGUACCAGUGAAAGCAACAUAAAUUAUUAAGAAUAAAAAUCUCCAGAUCAGCCUGGCUUUUCCUAAAAUCAACUUCAUCAACUGUGACGCAUAGGGAAGGGAACUAGUAGCUGUCCAGUGUCCCUGUGAAGUGAAGUGAAGUUGCUUCAGUCGUGUCCGACUCUGUGCGACCCCAUAGACGGCAGCCCACCAGGCUCCCCGGUCCCUGGGAUUCUCCAGGCAAGAACACUGGAGUGGGUUGCCAUUUCCUUCUCCAAUGCAUGAAAGUGAAAAGUGAAAGUGAAGUUGCUCAGUUGUGUCUGACUCUUGGAGACCCCAUGGACUGUCGCCUACCAGGCUCCAGUGUCCCUAAAGAAGCAAAAAUAAAGUGUUUUUUUUUUUUUUCCUGGUCAAUGGCUUCAUUUGUUACAUCGAAUUGCCUUUGCUCCAGGAAAAUAAACCAGCUGUUUAAAUAGACUAACUCAUGAAUUGCUUAUUGAGCACCUACUAUUUCCACAGCAAAGAG